rnacentral:rRNA from 1 species
UACGAAGGGGGGCUAGCGUUGUUCGGAAUUACUGGGCGUAAAGCGCACGUAGGCGGAUUGUUAAGUUAGGGGUGAAAAUCCCAGGGCUCAACCCUGGAACUGCCUUUAAUACUGGCAAUCUCGAGUCCGAGAGAGGUGAGUGGAAUUCCGAGUGUAGAGGUGAAAUUCGUAGAUAUUCGGAGGAACACCAGUGGCGAAGGCGGCUCACUGGCUCGGUACUGACGCUGAGGUGCGAAAGCGUGGGGAGCAAACAGG